CGAAGGUCAGGAUGCGAUAUCGGUACCGUGAUGAAGGUCAGGAUGUGAUAUCGGUACCGCGACGAAGGUCAGGAUGUGAUAUCGGUACCGUGACGAAGGUCAGGAUGUGAUAUCGGUACCGUGAUGAAGGUCAGGAUGUGAUAUCGGUACCGUGAUGAAGGUCAGGAUGCGAUAUCGGUACCGUGACGAAGGUCAGGAUGCGAUAUCGGUACCGCGAUGAAGGUCAGGAUGUGAUAUCGGUACCGUGACGAAGGUCAGGAUGUGAUAUCGGUACCGUGACGAAGGUCAGGAUGUGAUAUCGGUACCGCGAUGAAGGUCAGGAUGUGAUAUCGGUACCGUGACGAAGGUCAGGAUGUGAUAUCGGUACCGUGAUGAAGGUCAGGAUGUGAUAACGGUACCGCGAUAUGGUUAAUAAAAGCGUGUACAUUUGGACGCUGGUGUUGUAUAACGGUCAUAUGAACACCAGGGUGAACACGGUCACGGGUGCGAGUGCCAACCUGUCAGCUCACACAGGACUCGGGGGCAAAGGAACACCAAACACACUGCUUUCAGAAAACACACACACACACACACACACACACACACACACACACACACACACACAGCUGCCCCAUGUGUUUAGCAUACACACAAAAGCCCUGAGAGAGACAGAGAGCGAGAGAGAGAGACGUUUUUCUUCAGAGAAAAAAAGUACUUCAAAGAGCGAGAGAAAAGCGUGAGAGAAAGACAGGGGGAAGAACAAGAGGAACAAAAGAGACGGAGGAUGAAGAACGAAAGAGAGAGAUGACUGAGAACAAGACCGACAAAAACAGAAAAAGGAAAAAGAGACCGAGUGAACGUGAGAGAUGGGGGAAACCGAAGAACAAGAGAGAGACCAGGACGAGAGCGAAAGAAAAAGAGAGAAAGAACUAGAGAGAGCGUAUUGUAGUCUUUUCUCCCUAAUUAUUCAUCUUCAGGAUGUUUAUCACGUCGUGAUCUUUUAUACGUCAAUUACAACCAAUAAAAUAGCAUUCAUUACAUUUGCAUUGGGGUUGAAAACUGUGAUCUGAUUGGUUACAGCGGCACUAUGGGUGGAGCCAGUUAUCUGAUUGGUUACAGUGGCACCGGAGCCUGUGAUCUGAUUGGUUACAGUGGCCAAUCAGAGCCUGUGAUUUGAUUGGUUACAGCGUCACUGUGGGUGGAGCCUGUGAUCUGAUUGGUUACAGUGGCACCGGAGCCUGUGAUCUGAUUGGUUACAGUGGCCAAUCAGAGCCUGUGAUUUGAUUGGUUACAGCGUCACUGUGGGUGGAGCCUGUGAUCUGAUUGGUUACAGUGGCACCGGACUCUGUGAUCUGAUUGGUUACACUGGCACUGUGGGUGGAGCCUGUGAUCUGAUUGGUUACAGUGGCACCGGAGCCUGUGAUCAGAUUGGUUACGGUGUCACCAUGGGUGGAGCCUGUGAUCGGAUUGGUUACAGUGGCACCGUGGGUGGAGCCUGUGGUCUGACAGGUUACGCACAUUUUUGUAGUGGUGGGUCUUUUCUGGUCCUGAAGGCGGGAUCGGCGCGUACCCCUUGUUCUAGUCAAGAGCUGUACUGCUAGCCAGCGAACUCUGACUUUAAAACAAGCAUGAACCUGAGGAACCUUCACUACAGGAAGUGUGGUAUAACUACACCAUCAGCUCCAACCAGGAGUGCAUCUACACACCGAGGCGUGGGGUACUAGCAGAGUGACACCACCAACAGCUCACACGUACCACAGACUUACAGACGGUUAUCUGACGAGGACACGCACAAAUAUUCAUAUAGGAGCUCAUUAAGCUGUCAAAAUACACUCUAGUGCAAACCUUGGGUGUGUAUUUAUAUAAGUCAUUAUUCGACUGAAACUCUACUCUCUCACACACACACAUCUGCUUUCACACACACAACUCGCCUGACCCAGCAAUCCUCACGCACAUUUCAUCCCGUUAGACGAUGAUUUUUUUUUAGCUCGACUUCUAAGUGUCGCAGAUGUGUCCGUGGAGCUCCGGUAAUAAACACUGUGAGGGGAACUUCCAGGCUAGGUGGGGUCGCCUGCUGGAAACAGAAUGACCCAGUUAAUGGCAAAGCGGUGGCUGUAUAACACCAGAGUCAUGAGCACUAGCACGCAGAGCCUCCGGAGUACAAAGGCCUCCACAGAAUAUCGGAAACUUAAUAAGGGCGCGCUCGGCCACGUGUGAACGUCUGAUAACUCGCUCCUGUCUCGGCGCUUUAAUCUGCACAUCCCAGACGCUGCUUCUGUGAGCCAUCAGAAAGUCAAACCUAUGUCAGGGACGUUACCAUAAGCGUAAAUGUAUAUACACAUAUACACACACACACACACACACUCCAAUGCUGAACUAUAUAUAUAUAUAUAUAUAACCGUAUAAAUAUAAAGUCAUCACGACGAGUGAAGAUGGGGAAGAUCACAACGGGGAAGUCGGAACCGUCCGGAAUAUCGACGUUCACGUCGGUUGCGUUGUUGAAUUAAUACGACUCGUAGUGACUACCGUCGCACCGUAGUUUACUCCUAGCAUCGCGAGUUACGUUUUUAAAUAACGGUGAGAAUAUCUCGCUCUAACGUAUUAAAACACAGAGUAGGGAAAGUUAAACGUACGACAUGUUACUACGACAUUAUUACGGUUGCUAGGCAACUAGGUACCAAGGACCAAGACAUGUUGCUACACUGUUACAAUUUAGCGAGCUAGCACAUUAGGGUGUGUUGGUUAAUUAGUGAGAAACGACUCGACUGCGCCGUCUUUGCGCUUAGCCGCGUUAAAGUCACGUAAACGUUAGCAGUAAUCGACGAGUCCUUUGUGCACUGGAGCAAGAACGGUAGUGAAAAUAUUUCGAUAUCUUUUUAACAUCUAAAGAAUAUAAACGUUUACCCUGGCGCAUAGAGCACUGAAAAUAUCGUUCCUAUUGUUCGUGAGAUAUCCCGGCGUAUAAAUCACAGCCCAGCUCCGUCGAAAACAACACCGGAGAUCAAGACAUCGCGUAAACAUGCUAAAAUUAAAUCACCAGACAGUCUGGAGUACACCAGACAGUCACACGGAGUAGACUAGACACCGUGACUGGCUAGCGCUCGUACGAAACGUCGGCCAUUUUAAAAACGAUGCACAGAAUUCGUUUGAAUAUUCCUCAUUCGUUGACGUUUUAAAAAAAAAAUCUUUUAUUUGUCUUGCGAUGCAAAGCGUACGUUAUGACGCAACGAAAAAGUUCAAUGUAGCGUCCAACUUUACGCGUUGUUUAAUUAUUUGAUUACGUUAUCUAGGCAUACGGCUACAUCCUCAGGCUAGUUCAACUAAUAAGCAUGUUAGCUAGCUACUAAAUAAGCUACGGUUUUACGCAAUAAAAACUGUACGGAUUAAACCAAGAAUUAUUAACAUGACACGAUGGGACGUUCCUUAAUCGUUACAAUCCCGUAAUCAUUAAAUCUCUGUUGAACUCCGGACUCUGAUUGGUUCGGAAACGGUGCGGAUUCAUUUCUAAAACGACGUAAUACGUUAUCGUUUCCAUAGUAACAGCUCAUCUGUACGGGACCGGUACGGCGUACGCUCUGCUGUAAAGCAAUUAUUAGUACAGAAAAAUCGCCGAUACGGUGACGGCUGUCUGUAAGGAGGCGUCUAUGUAAUAUUUAUAUAUGGAAGGAGUCUCCAGUGUCAGUCAUAGAGGUAAAGCUGUAACUUGCGAACAAGCUGUGAGGUUUUAUCGGCAUCAUUGACUUCCGAUCGGCCGUUUGUAGUGGCCGUGAGAACAGGAACGAACGCGUUUCCGCGACGUAGCUAUAAACGGAUAAAAAAUGUACGACGGGGUGUUCUUUAAUAAGUUAAAGAUUUAUUCUGUACGAAACACUGCACGUCAGCGGAAAUUCUACCGUCGUAUACGCGUAAUAAACCGCUUCGAGACGGUCAGAGUGACCACCCUGUCGUUGAUUGUUUUCCCUGAACAGUGCGACACAGAGAGUCCCUAAAAGUAAACCGAGGUGUAAUCAGUGUCGUGACGAUGUAGUGUUUAUACUACAGAUCAGAAUCUGGAUCACGGAGCCUAACCGGUCGGGUAAUUGAUGUUAAUUUGCACGCGUGGUUGGAGAUCCCGCUCCGACAAGACAAGGCGGUGCGGCGUUGCCAUGCGUGCACGGCCUGCUCAUCAGCCCCGGCGUGCGUGGUUCCUGCUGCCCCCUACGAAAAGAUCCAGGCUUCUCUCACCUCUCUGUGGGUUAAACAAACACUAAUCUGCUUUAAGACGGUAUCAAAGAUGAUGUCUGACUUUAAUUCACUACUCUGCUCUCAACGUUCAUCAGGGACUGAGAUAUAAAGCCACUUACUUAUUUAAAAUCCCCAGAUUGAACACUUUUCAGAGAUUAAAACAGUGCAUGCAUGUAUCCAAAUAAAUAUAAAAAGAUCAAAUCACGCACUUUAACAAGAAAACUUGCACUUAGAUAAUUGUGUUAUCGAAAUCACAAACUGGAUAAACAUCAGGUCGAUAUCUAUAUUAUACAAGUUAUAUAUUUAUACAGUGAUACACUUUCUCUCUUUGUAAAUUUAACAAGCUUUAAACGUAAUAAAACGUCAACAUUUACGCUUCUUUAAUAAUGAUGAAAUCCAACAUUACAGCUCCUAUCGUUUUUAAAUAAACCACAUACAGAAAUGUAUACUGUACUGUACGCACAGGUUCAAAACAUGCCUUGGCAAACAAUGGCUACACGCUAGUCCAGGUUAGCGUACUGCCCAAGUCCAAAUCACCGCUCGCACCCUACACACGCGCGCUAUCUAGUGUACAUAAACAGGGUUUUAGUGGCUUCACGUGCGCCCUACAUAGUGCACUUACAUAUGAACGUGGACCGGUUUGGACGACUCGUGAACAUAGUGACGACAAAAGUAAAAGUUUAUCACGGCACCCAGGGGCUGACGUGACGCGUUAUGUUUUAGAUUAGAACUUCAGAACUUCACGCUGGUUCAGAGCUUAUUAAACAAGAACUUUAAUGUGGCAUUUUAAGACAGUGACAGAUAGAUAAAUAUAUAUAUAAAGUUACUCACCAAAAGCAAACAUCUUUCCAAGCUGACCGAAUGGUCGCACAACAUCCAAAAACUCAACCUGGUGCUUGUUUGUUUGUUUGUUUACUACAUAUUGUGCUAAAAGGUUAAAAAGAGAAAAAAAAUUCCACACAUACACACACACACACAAACACACACACACACACUCACUCACUCACUCACACACUCACUCACUCACUCACACGUACGCUGCUAUGUUAGUUUAUUGCUGCAUGUUUCCUACUAAACAUUCACACACACACUGGAGUCAUAGCUCUAAUGUGCGGAGUAGAGACUCGGAUCAACCAUUCGCAUCUCCGAGCGGGGGUGUGCUUUUUAAUCAAGAAGUCCGAUUUCUAAAUAAAUCCAACACAAUGUGAUAAUACAAGACAAUAUCAUCGACUAAACUUCCAGUGUCAUACGUUUUGUAUAUAAAUAUUCGAGUUGUAAUACGUACUUGGAAAAAAAUAAUCGCACAGAACAGACACACAACCCUGUCCUAGUGGUACAGUCUCACCGGGAAA
ensembl:lncRNA